ensembl:snRNA U6 U6 spliceosomal RNA
GUGCUCACUUUGGCAGCAUGUAUACUAAAAUUGGAACGAUUCAGAGAAGAUUAGCCUGGCUCCUUCGCAAGGAUGACACGCACAUUUGUGAAGCGUUCCAUAUUUUU